rnacentral:tRNA from 1 species
GCGCGAGUGGCGUAAUUGGUAGCCGCACCAGACUUAGGAUCUGGCGCCGCGAGGCGUGGGGGUUCGAGUCCCUUCUCGCGCA